UCUGGUGACUAUAGCAAGGAGGUCACACCUGUUCCCAUGCCGAACACAGAAGUUAAGCUCCUUAGCGUCGAUGGUAGUCGAAC
rnacentral:rRNA from 1 species